CCCGAAACCAGGCGACCUAUCCAUGAGCAGGUUGAAGUGGGGGUAAAACCCCAUGGAGGACCGAACCGACCCCCGUUGCAAUGGUGGCGGAUGACCUGUGGAUAGCGGAGAAAUUCCAAUCGAACUUGGAGAUAGCUGGUUCUCCCCGAAAUAGCUUUAGGGCUAGCGUUGGGAAUGAGUUUAGCGGAGGUAAAGCACUGAAUGAGCUAGGGGGCGCAAGCUUACUGAACUCUAUCAAACUAAGAAUGCCGCAUAAAUGCUUCCCAGCAGUCAGACUGCGAGUAAUAAAAUCCGUGGUCAAAAGGGUAACAGCCCAGACCCACAGCUAAGGUCCCCAAUACAUGCUAAGUGGAAAACGAUGUGAGAUUGCAUAAACAACCAGGAUGUUGGCUUAGAGGCAGCCACUCGUUCAAAGAGUGCGUAAUAGCUCACUGGUCGAGUGAUCUUGCGCGGAAAAUUUAACGGGGCUAAGCAUGUAACCGAAGCUUGGGAUUGCGCAAUGCGCAGUGGUAGGGGAGCGUCGUGUACGGGGUGAAGUACGAUCGAGAGGACGUGUGGACUGUACACGAGUGAGAAUGCCGGAAUGAGUAGCGAGAAUUAUGUGGGAAUCAUAAUGGCCGAAAAUCUAAGGUUUCUUGGGGAAGGUUCGUCCGCCCAAGGUAAGUCGGGAGCUAAGGCGAGGCCGAGAGGCGUAGUCGAUGCACAUACGGUAGAAAUUCCGUAACCACCGAAACUUAAGUCAGAGGGACACUUUGGAAUAGCAGAACCCGGGCGUUGGUUGACCCGGGCGUAAGGGAGCGAAACUAAAGUAGCGAAGUCUGCGAUGUCCAGAGGCGAGAAAAGCUCUGAGGAAUGCUAAGGUGCCCGUACCGCAAACCGACACAGGUAGAUGAGGAGAGAAUCCUAAGGCCAACGGGAGAAGGGUUGUUAAGGAACUCGGCAAAUUGACCCCGUAACUUCGGGAGAAGGGGUGCUCCAGAGAUGGAGCCGCAGAGAAUCGGCCCAAGCAACUGUUUACCAAAAACACAGGUUUGUGCUAAAUCGAAAGAUGACGUAUACGAGCUGACGCCUGCCCGGUGCUGGAAGGUUAAGAGGAGAUGUGCAAGCAUUGAAUCGAAGCCCCAGUGAACGGCGGCCGUAACUAUAACGGUCCUAAGGUAGCGAAAUUCCUUGUCAGGUAAG
rnacentral:rRNA from 1 species